GUUGAGAAGCUAGUAAAAUGUACAGCUGUCACUUAGUUCUAACAGACUAGUUAAGUAAGUUAACAAAUUUAGUUUGUUAGAAUCUGUUAGCUUAUUAACUGACUGUAUAUAUAGAUGAGAUAGUAUUAGAAUGAAUGCAGUAGUAAGAAUGAUUCUCUUGUAAAGACUUUCAGUGUUGAAGAAGAAGUUUUCUCUCCAUUGUCAAGCAAGCUAAUCUUCUAUUCAUUACUGCAGUAUCUCAAUUUUCUGAUCUUAACAUGGUAUCAAAGCAUGGGCGAAUGUUCUAGGAGCUUGUCGUCUUGCUGAUUUUUUUUGUUAUCUCGCUUGUUUCAUCGUUCGAUCAUCGUUCGAUCAUCGUUCGAUCAUCGCGAUUGAGGAAGAAUCUGGAGGAUCGGGUAGCAGACUUCAAGGAGAAGCCAUUACUGGAAGCUCGGUGAUGAUUGAUCACAAUCAUCCACUGUUUUUGAGUUCAUCGGAUGUACCAGGAGCACUAUCAAUAGGGAUCCAAUUGACAGGGAUGGAGAAUUAUACCCUGUGGAGUCGGGCUAUGGAGAUUGCAUUGCUUGGACGGAACAAAUUGGGAUUCAUUGAUGGCUCUGUUUUGCGCACUGAUUUUGAAGGAAAUUUGAAGAAAAAUUGGGAUCGAUGCAAUGCAGUGGUCAUCUCUUGGUUAAUCUGUAAUGUUAGUAAGGAGUUACUAUCUGGAAUCUUAUACUCAACCAGUGCUUACCAGGUAUGGCUUGAUCUUAAGGAGCGUUUCGAUAAAAUCAAUGGAUCUAGACUCUAUCAAUUGCAUAGGACCAUUUUCACUCUUACACAGGGAGUCUCAACAGUUUCAACUUAUUUCACCAAAUUGAAAAAUUUGUGGGAUGAAUAUGAUUCUAUUUUACCCCCACCUAGUUGUGAUUGUCAUAAGGCUAAGGAGUAUGUUGAACAGAUGCAGUAUCAGCGUCUGUUACAGUUUCUAAUGGGGUUGAAUGAUAGUUAUUCACAAGCUAGGGGUCAAAUCUUAAUGAUGCACACCUUGCCUAAUGUGAAUCAAGCUUAUGCACUAAUAAUCCAGGAUGAAAGUCAGAAGGGAAUUGCAGGUCACAUUAGUGAAGGGAUGGAGUCCUUAGCUCUUUACACUGCUAGAAACAAUAAGCAGCAGCAGUAUCCCAGGAAGAAUUUUCAGUCUCUGUAUUGUGAUUUCUGCAACAUGAAAGGGCAUGUUAGGGCAGACUGUAACAAACUAAAGAAAUGUGACCAUUGUCAUGCUACUGGGCAUGUCAAAGGGGAUUGCUACCAAUUGAUUGGUUAUCUUGACAAUUUUAAAGGAAAGAAGAAGGUUAAUGCUGUGCUUGGAGGUAUGCAAGAUCACUUAGCAAUGGGAGGAGGUACAAUAUAUUCUCAGUCACAUUGUGUGCAGGAUCAAGUGGAUAGGAAGGCAUACAUGGGCAUAGAAGAACCAAUGCACAAUACCCAGGGCACACAUGAACAAAUACUAUUACAGCUGUUACACAAAUCUUCACCAGAUCAAAUUAAUACUAUGAUUGAUGCCUUGAAGAAAAACAGUUGCAGCAGCAGCAGUGUGAAUAUGACAGGUAAUCCUAGUUUAUGUUUGAAAUGGAUUAUAGACACAGGAGCUACAGAUCAUAUGAUAUGUGAUCACAACUAUUUGUAUGCUGGGAAUAUGGUAAAAAGUACAUGCAAAGUACAGCUACCUACAGGGGAUUUGGCCACAGUUACACAUAUUGGAAGUUUUCAACUAAAUGAGAGUGACCUGAUCAGUGAUGUCUUGUGCAUACCAGAUUUUAAGUUUAACCUCUUAUCUGUGAACAAACUAACAAAAGAAUUAAACUGCUCUGUUUCCUUCUUUCCCACACACUGUGUAUUUCAGGAUCUCUUGUCUGGGAAGGUCAAGGGGAUUGGUGAGGUGGAGGAUGGAUUAUAUGUACUACACUGGAGAGCAAUACCACAAAAGGCACUGUCUGCCGCCAGCAGAUUAGAUGAAGAUCCUGCACUUUGGCAUCAAAGGUUGGGACAUGUUCCUAUGAGAGUACUUAGAAGAAUAAAAGAGUUUAAGACUCAUGAUAGUUUUUCUAUUGAUUACUGCAUUAUCUGUCCACAAGCUAGACAAACUAGAGUCCCUUUUCCAAUAAGUAACACCAAAGUAGAUGUUGUUUUUGACUUAGUACAUAUGGAUGUCUGGGGUCCAUAUAAGAUAGCUACUCAUCAUGGAAUGAAGUAUUUUCUUACUUUAGUUGAUGAUAAGUCUAGGUGGACAUGGACUUUCCUAAUUCAUUUGAAAUCUGAUGUAAUUGUUGUACUGAAACAAUUUCUAGCAAUGAUAAAGAAUCAGUUUGGGAAAUGUGUCAAGGUGUUCAGGUCUGAUAAUGGAGGAGAGUUUAUGAGUUCUAACUGUCAUGAUUUAUUUGCAUUGCAUGGGAUCAUUCACCAAAGAUCUUGUUCACAUACUCCACAACAAAAUGGAGUUGUAGAAAGGAAGCAUAGACACUUGUUAGAGACAUCAAGAUCUAUCAAAAUUCAAGGGCACUUGCCAGAUAGAUUUUGGGGUGAAUGCAUAGAAGCUGCAACAUAUAUCAUAAAUAGAGUACCUCUUAUAGUUUUGGGAAACAUGUCACCAUAUGAACUGAUGUUUGGCAAACAACCUUCUUUAACUCACCUGAGAGUGAUAGGGUGUUUGGCAUUUGCUACUAGUUUGAGGAAGGAUGAUAAGUUUGCCCCAAAGGCUAGAAAGGCUGUGCUACUUGGGUAUGCUGUCAAUCAGAAGGGAUAUAAAUUGCUAGACAUUGAGUCAAGGGUUAUUUUUGUCAGCAGAGAUGUCAUAUUUUAUGAAAGGAAAUUUCCAUUUCAAUUAUCAAGUUCAGGAGAUACUACUGAUCCAAUAUUUCCUAUGCUCAACUCACAUGUAGAAGAUUGUGAGCUUACUCCAUGUAUUAUAAGCAGAAAUGACACUAUUUGUUCUAAUGAUGAAGGCCAACCUAAUGACAGUCAAGUUUGUGAAUCACACAACACAUGUGUUUCCCCUGAUGUUGCAGUUCCUCAGGAUAAUCAGGCUUCUCAGCCUGAUGAUAUGUCGCAGAACCAGACCACAUCAUCAGUCUUACCUAAUGUUGUUGUUCCUGCUGUUGUUGUUAGAAAAUCAAAUAGACCUGCUAAGCCUCCUUUGUGGCACACAGACUAUGUUUUGUCCAAGAAGUUAGCUGGUAAUUGCUUGUAUCCCAUUGGAGAUGUGGUUGAUUAUGAGAGCAUCACACCAACUUAUAGAACCUUUGUUACUAAGAUAUCUCAAGAAAAGGAACCUGCAUCUUAUCGGGAAGCCAUACAGGAUCCAAGGUGGAUUGAAGCUAUGCAGAAUGAAAUCCAUGCUUUGGAAGAAAAUCACACUUGGAAGCUCACUCAGCUGCCUAAAGAUAAAAAGGCCAUAGGGUGUAAAUGGGUGUACAAGGUGAAGUAUAAGGCUAAUGGAGAGGUAGAUAGAUUUAAAGCUCGGUUGGUAGCUAAGGGUUACAACCAAAGAGAAGGAUUGGAUUAUCAAGAAACAUUUUCUCCUGUUGUGAAGAUGGGGACUGUUCGAGCUGUCAUAAGCUUGGCUGCUGCACAUCACUGGCAAAUACAUCAAAUGGAUGUUUUUAAUGCUUUUCUUCAAGGUGACUUAAAUGAAGAAGUAUACAUGGAGUUACCUAUGGGAUUUGGGCAUAACAGUGAGAGGGGGAUAGUGUGUAAACUCACCAAGUCACUGUAUGGACUCAAGCAGGCAAGUAGGCAAUGGAACAUCAAGCUAACCAUGGCUUUAGCUAAUUCUUGUUUCCAGCAGAGCCAUUACGAUUACUCUUUAUUCACAAAGCAUCGAGGUGAGAGCUUGGUAAUGGUAUUGGUGUAUGUUGAUGAUUUGUUGAUCACAGGGAAUGAUCGCAAACUAAUCCUAGAAACAAAGAAGGCUCUCAAAGACAAUUUUAAAAUCAAGGAUUUGGGGGAGUUGAGAUAUUUCUUAGGAAUUGAGUUUGCCAGAAAUGCAACAGGGAUUCUUAUGCACCAAAGAAAGUAUUGCCUUGAACUUAUCUCAGAUAUGGGGUUGUCCAGCUCUAAUCCUGUUGGAGCACCUAUUGAACUAAAUCAGAAACUUACAACUACAUAAUUUGAUGUGCAUUUUCCUCCCACUGAUGAGAAUUAUAAACUAUUAAGUGAUCCUACUAUUUACCAGAAGUUGGUGGGAAGGCUACUUUAUUUGACUAUUACAAGGCCAGAUAUAGCAUUUACAAUACAACUUCUAAGUCAGUUUAUGCAUAAUCCCAAUACAUCACACAUGGAUGCAGCAAUAAGGGUAGUCAAGUAUGUUAAACAAUCACCAGGGUUGGGAAUUCUUAUGAGUACCAAUGUGGAUAAUCAACUAACUGCAUAUUGUGAUGCAGAUUGGGCAUCCUGUCCAAACAACAAGAAGUCUAUUACUGGUUACAUGGUCACAUAUGGAAAAUCUUUGAUAUCAUGGAAGUCCAAGAAGCAAAACACUAUAUCGAGGAGCUCAGCUGAGGCUGAAUACAGGAGUUUGGCAUCAACAGUUGCAGAAAUUGUGUGGCUAAUAGGACUGUUCAAAGAACUAGGAGUGCAGAUGAAGAUGCAUGUGCCUAUUUAUAGUGAUAGCAAAUCAGCAAUACAGAUUGCAGCCAACCCAGUCUUCCAUGAGCGUACAAAACACAUAGACAUUGAUUGCCAUUUCAUCAGAGAGAAGGUUCAACUAGGAUUGGUUCAACCUAUGUACUUGAAGACAACAGAGCAACCUACAGACUUACUCACCAAAGGAUUAACUUGUGUGCAACAUGCGUAUCUACUUACCAAGCUAGGAAUGAAGAAUGUUUUUCAUACACCUAGCUUGAGGGAGGAUGUUGAGAAGCUAGUAAAAUGUACAUAUGUCACUUAGUUCUAACAGACUAGUUAAGUAAGUUAACAAAUUUAGUUUGUUAGAAUCUGUUAGUUUGUUUGCUUAUUAACUGACUGCAUAUAUAGAUGAGAUAGUAUUAGAAUGAAUGCAGUAGUAAGAAUGAUUCUCUUGUAAAGACUUUCAGUGUUGAAGAAGAAGUUUUCUCUCCA
rnacentral:lncRNA from 1 species